UGCGGGUUGGGAAGUUAACAAAUUGCCCCUUGUGUAUAGGUGAGUGGUACAACCAGGGGGAUUGAUGAUAGUAUGGAGAGAAUAAAGUUGGGUUAGAUAAGCGUAAGACUAGUGCAAAUGGGUGGUUGAUGGUCGGCGCGGACUCGGUGGGCCCUGCUGAGAUAUAAAGAUAUCUCUAUCAACACUGAAGGUGAACAGUCAGGCCAGUACAUGUGGUAAUAUCCACAUCUUCCCAUUAUUCUUAACCUAAUGAUGGUACAUAUAUAUGAUUGCUUUGUUAUCCAGUCCUUAGCUUGGCAGGUCCGGUCCCUGGAGUUUUCAUGAUGCACAGUUGCGAUACAAAGCAUCAGAAGAACAUAAAGAAGUGAAUAUAAGCAACUUCUUGGAGACACAAGGGACUGCAGAUGCAGGAACAUUGAGCAAAACACAAAGUCCUGGAGGAAUUCAGCGAGUCAGGUAGUAUCUGUGGAGGGAAUGGAGAUGUGAUGUUUUAGCUCGGGUCCGAAGGAGGGUCCCUACCCGAAACGUCGCCUGUCCAUUCCCUCCACAGAUACUGCCUGACCUGCUGUUCGUCCAACACACUGAGUUCCGUACGUAUGUGGUUUGUUGAGGAACAAACGUGCUUCUGCAAAUCCCUGUCAGUGUAACAAAACUACACUGGAUUGUAGUGCCACUGGAAUGGUGACUGAAAAGCUAUGUUGUAGGAUGAACAGGAAAAUGCUGGAAACAUUCAGAAGGUCAGGCAGCAUCUGCGGAAAUAGAAAGCAGUACCAUGACUUCCUGAUGCUCAUACCCAAUGCCCUGACCUGUGAUGGCAAGCAUACCAUACGCCUUCUUUACCACUCUUAUCUAUUUGUGUUGCCUCUCUCUGGGAUCUCUGGACUUGGACCCCAAGAUCCCUCCUCACAUCAAUGCUGUUAACGGUCUUGCCAUUGAUUGUAUAUUUUCUCCUUAUGUGCAACCUGCCCAACC